rnacentral:rRNA from 1 species
GACGGAGGAUGCAAGUGUUAUCCGGAAUCACUGGGCGUAAAGCGUCUGUAGGUGGUUUAUUAAGUCUAUUGUUAAAUCUUGAGGCUUAACCUCAAAUCAGCGAUGGAUACUGAUAGACUAGAGUGUGAUAGAGGUAAGAGGAAUUUCCAGUGGAGCGGUGAAAUGCGUAGAGAUUGGAAAGAACACCGAUGGCGAAAGCAUCUUACUGGGUCAAAACUGACACUGAGAGACGAAAGCUAGGGUAGCAAAUGGGAUUAGAUACCCCAGUAGUCCUAGCAGUAAACGAUGGAUACUAGAUGUUGUACGUUCACCGCAGUGUCGAAGCUAACGCGUUAAGUAUCCCGCCUGGGGAGUAUGCUCGCAAGAGUG